AGUUCGAGGAUAGAAAGUGGCAGCUAUCACACCCAAUGACUUAGAAAAAAUAUGUAGGUUGGUUCAAUUCCGGCUGAGGCGGCAGAAAUGCACGUGUCACAUCUGGUAGUUUGAUGCUGUUGGGUCUUUAAAGAGAUGUAGGGUACGCCGUCCUACCGAACU
rnacentral:ncRNA from 1 species